UUGACCUCAAAUCAGGUAGGACUACCCGCUGAACUUAAGCAUAUCAU
rnacentral:rRNA from 7 species